rnacentral:lncRNA from 1 species
AUCUCUGGAGAGACAAAUGUCUAGGAAUUGCCAAUCUGCCAUAAUCUAUCUGUCCCGCCUCAGGACUCAAAGUUUUAUUUGUGUUAUUUUCUAUCUGUGGCACUUAAGUACUAUUCCUGGUUUAUAGUGGUAACUAUUGCCUAAAUUCUCUCAAAAUAGGUCUUAGCUUUCAAGGGCUGUCUCAGGAAGACGUCUGUGAUUCACCUCCUACAUUUUUUUGCCGUUGUGGUCGUUCUUGUUGCUCUUUGUUUGCUUUAAUGUUCUUUCCAGUGCCAGAUAUAACAAAUAAGUAUCCAGUUUGAAAGAUUACCGAAAACACCGCCAACCUCUCCCAUUAACUUCACCUUGUCAGAUAGGUGAAGACAGUAUCUCCCAAUUUUCCAAGUGAUUUAUUUACUAAAAGUUAAAACUGGUGCCCUAAUUCAUUAUUCUGCUUUUAUAGCUGACGAAUUUUGUAUUAAACAAAAGCAAAUAUUUUCGUACUUAACUAGAAGUUCAAUGAGGUCUAGCCCCUUCUAGUCUGGGCACUGGCUAUUUCAUAGAAAUUUAUAGGAACACGUGUUUCCAUUUUCAAGGGCAAUUUUAGAACCUGCUAGAUAAAAUGGCUACAAUUAGUUUGCACACUGGAAAACAGUCCAAGUUCAUAUCCACUUAAACAUUUAAAUUGCCAGCUAAUUGCACUCAUCUGAACCCAGCAGGAUAAUUCACCUUCAGGCUUCUAAACCCAAGGCCAAUCAUUACAGAGAGUGAAAUGGGCAGGGUGGCGCUGGGGUGCUUCCAGAACUGUGCUGUGUGGUAUGUGCUGUAUUGUUUCUGUGAUAGUGACAAAGAACUCUGUCACUAGCUCUCCCAUUCAGCCAACUGAGAAUGGAAAGGACGUCUGCAUUCUCCAGAGAGAGAGCUAUAGAAAAACAAGGAGCUUACCUACACAGCAGAGCAAGGCUCCAGACAAAGUCCUUUGGAGAAUGAACCCUCAGGGUUUUAGACUCAAGAAAAAGGAUGUGUCCUAA